rnacentral:rRNA from 1 species
GACAGAGGGUGCAAACGUUGUUCGGAAUUACUGGGCGUAAAGCGCGCACAGGCGGCCUUGCAAGUCGGGCGUGAAAUCCCACGGCUCAACCGUGGAAGUGCACUCGAAACUGCGAGGCUAGAGUCUUGGAGAGGAAGGCGGAAUGCUUGGUGUAGAGGUGAAAUUCGUAGAUAUCAGGAGGAACACCGGUGGCGAAGGCGGGGUCUCUGGGCAACAACUGACGCUGAGGAGCGAAAGCGUGGGGAGCGAACAGGG